GACGAACGCUGGCGGCGUGCUUAACACAUGCAAGUCGAACGGAAAGGCCCUGCUUUUGUGGGGUGCUGGAGUGGCGAAGGGGUGAGUAACAGGUGAGUAACCUGCCCUUGACUUUGGGAUAAGUUCAGGAAACUGGGGCUAAUACCGGAUCGGAGCUCCUGCUGCAUGGUGGGGGUUGGAAAGUUUCGGCGGUUGGGGAUGGACGCGCGGGUUAUCAGCUUGUUGGUGGGGUAGUGGCUUACCAAGGCUUUGACGGGUAGCCGGCCUGAGAGGGUGACCGGCCACAUUGGUACUGAGAGACGGCCCAGACUCCUACGGGGGGCAGCAGUGGGGAAUAUUGCACAAUGGGCGGAAGCCUGAUGCAGCAACGCCGCGUGCGGGAUGACGGCCUUCUGGGUGUAAACCGCUUUCGCCUGUGACGAAGCGUGAGUGACGGUAAUGGGUAAAGAAGCACCGGCUAACUACGUG
rnacentral:rRNA from 1 species